GUGUCAGAUGUGGCAUAUGUACUCAAACUGGAAGGAUACAGGGAUGAUUAGCAUGGCCCCUGUGUAAGGAUGACACACAAAGUUAUGGAUUGUUUCGUAUUUAA